GGCCAGACUCCUACGGGAGGCAGCAGUGGGGAAUAUUGCACAAUGGGGGAAACCCUGAUGCAGCGACGCCGCGUGAGUGAAGAAGUAUUUCGGUAUGUAAAGCUCUAUCAGCAGGAACGAGACAAGACGGUACCUGACUAAGAAGCCCCGACUAACUACGUGCCAGCAGCCGCGGUAAUACGUAGGGGGCAAGCGUUAUCCGGAAUCACUGGGUGUAAAGGGAGCGUAGACGGCUGUGCAAGCCUGAAGUGAAAUGCCGGGGCUUAACCCCGGAACUGCUUUGGAAACUGUGCAGCUAGAGUGCAGGAGAGGUAAGUGGAAUUCCUAGUGUAGCGGUGAAAUGCGUAGAUAUUAGGAGGAACACCAGUGGCGAAGGCGGCUUACUGGACUGUAACUGACGUUGAGGCUCGAAAGCGUGGGGAGCAAACAGGAUUAGAUGCCCUCGUAUU
rnacentral:rRNA from 1 species